AAUGUUGACCUCGGAUCAGGUAGGAAUACCCGCUGAACUUAAGCAUAUCAAAGUUGGGAGAAGGAAA
rnacentral:rRNA from 1 species